CUAAUUCUCAUUUAAUUUUCUUUAAAUUCUCUUUGUUUUCUAAGAAAAUCAAAUUAGAUCCCCAAUCCUCUAAAAAUUAUUUUAUCUUUGGGCUUUGAUUGAUAUAACUGAUUGAAGAAUCUGAACAUGACUCGAAAGUCGCGGAAGGUACGGAUUUCGUUAAUUUCUCUCAUCCUCAUCCUCUUCCUCUUCAAUUUUAUUUUUUUGACGAGCACUCAAACUACUUGCUGCAAUGAACUGGAUUAUUUUGAACCGGUAUAGUGCUUAGCACAAGGUAGUUAUCCCGGAUUUAGAAACAAUCAUGGCCAAGUAAGAAGUAGAACAAGCAUCUGCUGCGUUUAGGAUCACACUGGAAGGAGAUCGUAUGCCUGCUCUGCUCCUCGCUUCUCAGUCAGCUUGUAAUUUGCAUUGAUGCCUUCAGAGCGAGAGUUAGUUGAGUUUGAUGGUUUGUACCAUCAGAGCAACUGGGUUUUGAGAAAAUAGGAAGUCCAGCUCGUAGGACCUUGCCAUUCUCACAUCAGGUUACCACUGAAACCAACCUUGAGAAGAUGGGAUUAGAAAUGCUUCAUUCAUGUAAACAGGUUUGGUUGCAUAACUUUGGAUUGGGAAUUCUGGUUAUGAUGUGGAGAAGGUCUGUGAUGUUUCCAGCGGAGAUCUGGCCUGUACCAUGACUUCCCAUGGAAAUAUAUAGUUCGCUAUUUAUUUCUGAUCGCAUUCACUGCUUGGGACUCGAGCUAUAAUUUAAGUCCAGCGUAAAAGGAGACACACAAGAGUGGAAAAGGGAGAGCUCGUGGGAGGCACAGAGCGACAGUAGUUCGGGGCUGGUGGGGCUGCCUUUCAUUUCUUGGCAUUGUUGCGCGUGACAUUUUGUGGGAUUUAACUGGUUAGGAAGCAAACCUUUAGAUUUAGCAUCCAAUGAUUCCCUAGCCAUUUAACCAGCCUAUAGGAAGUCGCCACAUGGAAAACCCAGCUGGACUGUUCUUUUGUGAUCAUUUGUUGGGGGCAGAAGCAGGGAAUGAUGCGUCUGGUGGCAUUUACGGAAUUUCAGGGGGGAGACUGACCAUUGCAGAGAAUACACAUGCAUACCAUAAAAGCUGCACUAGCCUGGACCU